rnacentral:rRNA from 1 species
UUCCCAGUCACGAUACUUCUUUCUGGGGUUGUAGGACCUCAAUGCCAGAGCGAGAAGUAGAAUGACGUGGGAAAGUCAACCAAAGAGGGUGAGAGUCCCGUAAACGAGAGCAAGGCGAGGUAUCCUGAGUAGUGCGGGACACGAGAAAUCCUGUGCGAAGCUGGGAGGACCACCUUCCAAGGCUAAAUACACUAGCGACCGAUAGAGAAGAGUACCGUGAGGGAAAGGUGAAAAGAACCCCGGCGAGGGGAGUGAAAAGAACCUGAAAGCGUCUGCUUACAACCGGUCGGAGGGGCGAAUGCCCUGACGGCGUGCCUUUAGGAGAAUGAGCCUGCGAGUUAAUGUCAGUGGCAAGCAUAAGGGAGAAGCACCCGGAUGCGAAGCGAAAGCGAGUUUGAAAAGAGCGAAUAAGUUGCUGAGAUUAGACACGAAACCAGGUGAGCUAACCAUGUUCAGGGUGAAAGCAGGGUAACACCUGCGGGAGGCCCGAACUCACAAAUGUUGCAAAAUUUGGGGAUGAGAUGUGGUUAGGGGUGAAAUGCCAAUCGAACCCGGAGCUAGCUGGUUCUCCCCGAAAUGUGUUGAGGCGCAGCGGUAAUGAAUAUACCUGGGGGGUAAAGCACUGUUUCGGUGCGGGCUGGGAGACCGGUACCAAAUCGAGGCAAACUAAGAAUACCCAAGGAGCCCAUUGCCAGUGAGACGGUGGGGGAUAAGCUUCAUCGUCAAGAGGGAAACAGCCCAGACCACCAGCUAAGGUCCCCAAAUCAUCACUAAGUGAAAAAGGAGGUGGGGUUGCAAAGACAACUAGGAGGUUUGCCUAGAAGCAGCCACCCUUGAAAGAGUGCGUAAUAGCUCACUAGUCAAGCGAUCCUGCGCCGAAAAUGAAAGGGGCUAAGUGAUGUACCGAAGCUGUGGGAUUAGAAAUAAUCGGUAGGGGAGCGUUCCGUAGUAGUGAGAAGCAGUAGCGGCAAGCAGCUGUGGACGAGACGGAAGUGAGAAUGUCGGCUUGAGUAGCGCAAACAUUGGUGAGAAUCCAAUGCCCCGAAACCCUAAGGGUUCCAGAGGCAGGUUCGUCCACUCUGGGUUAGUCGGGACCUAAGGCGAGGUCGAAAGGCUUAGUCGAUGGAGACCGGGUCAACAAUCCCGGACUACAAUAUGGGAGCAGAACUAGGGACGCAUGAAAGAUAGCCACGCCCUGAAUGGAUUGGGAAGACCGUUACGACGGUCGAGUGGUGAAGGAAAGUGCCAAGAAAAGCUAGGGUUGUGAUGAACAUAUAGUACCCGUACCCGAAACCGACACAGGUAGGGAGGUUGAGAAUACCAAGGGGCGCGAGAUAACUCUCUCUAAGGAACUCGGCAAAAUGGCCUCGUAACUUAGGAAGAAGGGGUGCCAGCCGAAAGGCUGGUCGCAGUGAAGAGAUCCAGGCGACUGUUUACCAAAAACACAGGUCUCCGCCAACUCGAAAGAGGACGUAUGGGGGCUGACGCCUGCCCAGUGCCGGAAGGUUAAGGAAGUUGGUCAGUGGAAACAUAAAGCUGACGACCGAAGCCCCGGUGAACGGCGGCCGUAACUAUAACGGUCCUAAGGUAGCGAAAUUCCUUGUCGGGUAAGUUCCGACCCGCACGAAAGGCGUAACGAUCUGGGCGCUGUCUCGGAGAGAGGCUCGGCGAAAUAGAAAUGUCUGUGAAGAUGCGGACUACCUGCACCUGGACAGAAAGACCCUAUGAAGCUUUACUGUAGCUUGGCAUUGGGUUCGGGCUUUGAUUGCGCAGGAUAGGUGGGAGGCUAAGAGAUAUUCCUUGUGGGGGAUAAGGAGCCGUCGGUGAGAUACCACUCUAUCAAGGCUAGAAUUCUAACUAAAAGGACAGUGUCAGGUGGGCAGUUUGACUGGGGCGGUCGCCUCCUAAAAGGUAACGGAGGCGCGCAAAGGUUCUCUCAGGCUGGUUGGAAAUCAGCCGUAGAGUGUAAAGGCAAAAGAGAGCUUGACUGCAAGACUUACAAGUCGAGCAGGGACGAAAGUCGGCCUUAGUGAUCCGACGGCACUGAGUGGAAGGGCCGUCGCUCAACGGAUAAAAGUUACUCUAGGGAUAACAGGCUGAUCUCCCCCAAGAGUUCACAUCGACGGGGAGGUUUGGCACCUCGAUGUCGGCUCAUCGCAACCUGGUGCGGAAGUACGUGCCAAGGGUUGGGCUGUUCGCCCAUUAAAGCGGUACGUGAGCUGGGUUCAGAACGUCGUGAGACAGUUCGGUCCAUAUCCGGUGCAGGCGUUGGAACAUUGAAAGGAGUCCUCCUUAGUACGAGAGGACCGGGAGGAACGCACCGCUGGUGUACCUGUUAUCGUGCCAACGGUAGACGCAGGGUAGCCAAGUGCGGAGAGGAUAACCGCUGAAGGCAUCUAAGUGGGAAGCCCACCCCAAGAUGAGUGCUCUCUGAAGGUCACGGGAAGACGACCCGUUAAUAGGCGUUAGGUGGAAGUGCAGUGAUGUAUGAAGCCGAGGCGUACUAAUAGACCGUGAGCUUGACCUA